rnacentral:misc_RNA from 1 species
ACUUCAGAACUGAAAUCACAGCCAGGAGGUUUCGGAUGCUGGAGGACUGCUCCACUGAUUUCCUGUGGUGCCUUCGAGCUCUGGGAUCUAUUGUUCUGCAUAACAUAAGCCAGGCUAGAAAAUCAGCUCAGUAUUUGUGGGCAAUACCUGAAAAGAAGAUAUUUGAAUUUGGAGUGUAUACCUUCUCCUUGGGUCACACGGUGUCCAAGGGGCCUUGCAAAGGGAACACAUCAGAUAACACACAAUAAUGACAAAAUAUCAACAAGAACAAGGGGCCAGGAACUCAUCACAUCCAUGUAAGAGCAGAGGAAAGCAGGCCUUGGUGGCAGGGACAGACGCAGCCCUGUGAGGCUCCCGCGUGGCCUGGAGCCCACCCCAUCAGCCCGCUGAGGAAAGGCCAGCAGAAGAUGAUUGGGAACACAGGAACCCGGCUCUCCUGGACCGAUCGGCAGCCACAGGUUUACUCCUCAAACCAGAUGAUCUUAGUAGCCAUAUUUUCAGAAACGGGAUUUUUCGAUUAUUGUGCUGUAAAGGCAUACCGGCUCUCCCGGGGACGGGUGUGGGCCAUGAUCAUCAUGCUC